AAUAAGUAUAGUUUUACACUUUUCAUAUUCAACGUUUGAUCAUCCAUUUUAUUUGAAAUUUUAUUAUGAUCAGUAUUGUACUAUUGUUAUUAGAUGAUAAAACAUGAACUGUACUUUAUAUGUGACUAUACAUUUUUAUUUUUUUUCAUAAAUCUGGUUUUCCAUCGCCCCUUGGAUGGUUUUUAAAAACAAGCUAGUUCACGUCCCAUUGUCCUGGCGUCAGGUCCUAUUUUUUAAAUAAGAUGGAUAGUCAAACGUUGGACACGGAUAUUCAGAGUUGCACUUAGG
rnacentral:pre_miRNA from 1 species